CCUUUUUAGAGUUUGGAACAGGCUCAGAUUGAACGCUGGCGGCAGGCCUAACACAUGCAAGUCGAACGGUAGCACAGAGAGCUUGCUCUCGGGUGACGAGUGGCGGACGGGUGAGUAAUGUCUGGGAAACUGCCUGAUGGAGGGGGAUAACUACUGGAAACGGUAGCUAAUACCGCAUAACGUCGCAAGACCAAAGAGGGGGACCUUCGGGCCUCUUGCCAUCAGAUGUGCCCAGAUGGGAUUAGCUAGUAGGUGGGGUAACGGCUCACCUAGGCGACGAUCCCUAGCUGGUCUGAGAGGAUGACCAGCCACACUGGAACUGAGACACGGUCCAGACUCCUACGGGAGGCAGCAGUGGGGAAUAUUGCACAAUGGGCGCAAGCCUGAUGCAGCCAUGCCGCGUGUAUGAAGAAGGCCUUCGGGUUGUAAAGUACUUUCAGCGGGGAGGAAGGUGUUGUGGUUAAUAACCACAGCAAUUGACGUUACCCGCAGAAGAAGCACCGGCUAACUCCGUGCCAGCAGCCGCGGUAAUACGGAGGGUGCAAGCGUUAAUCGGAAUUACUGGGCGUAAAGCGCACGCAGGCGGUCUGUCAAGUCGGAUGUGAAAUCCCCGGGCUCAACCUGGGAACUGCAUUCGAAACUGGCAGGCUAGAGUCUUGUAGAGGGGGGUAGAAUUCCAGGUGUAGCGGUGAAAUGCGUAGAGAUCUGGAGGAAUACCGGUGGCGAAGGCGGCCCCCUGGACAAAGACUGACGCUCCAGUGGAAAGACGCCC
rnacentral:rRNA from 1 species